GUAAGUAUAAUUUAAUAAAAAUAUUAGAUUGUGGUUCUAAAAACAGAAGCUACCAACUUCUUACUUACC
rnacentral:tRNA from 1 species